rnacentral:rRNA from 1 species
AGAGUUUGAUCCUGGCUCAGGAUGAACGCUGGCGGCGUGCUUAACACAUGCAAGUCGAACGAAGCACUUUAUUUGAUUUCUUCGGAAUGAUUAUUUUGUGACUGAGUGGCGGACGGGUGAGUAACGCGUGGGUAACCUGCCUCAUACAGGGGGAUAACAGUUGGAAACGACUGCUAAUACCGCAUAAGCGCACAGCAUCGCAUGAUGCCGUGUGAAAAACUCCGGUGGUAUGAGAUGGACCCGCGUCUGAUUAGUUAGUUGGCGGGGUAACGGCCCACCAAGACCGCGAUCAGUAGCCGACCUGAGAGGGUGACCGGCCACAUUGGGACUGAGACACGGCCCAAACUCCUACGGGAGGCAGCAGUGGGGAAUAUUGCACAAUGGGGGAAACCCUGAUGCAGCGACGCCGCGUGAGCGAUGAAGUAUUUCGGUAUGUAAAGCUCUAUCAGCAGGGAAGAAAAAAUGACGGUACCUGACUAAGAAGCACCGGCUAAAUACGUGCCAGCAGCCGCGGUAAUACGUAGGUGGCGAGCGUUAUCCGGAAUGAUUGGGCGUAAAGGGUGCGUAGGUGGCAGAUCAAGUCUGGAGUAAAAGGUAUGGGCUCAACCCGUACUUGCUCUGGAAACUGGUCAGCUAGAGAACAGAAGAGGGCGGCGGAACUCCAUGUGUAGCGGUAAAAUGCGUAGAUAUAUGGAAGAACACCGGUGGCGAAGGCGGCCGUCUGGUCUGGAUUCUGACACUGAAGCACGAAAGCGUGGGGAGCAAAUAGGAUUAGAUACCCUAGUAGUCCACGCCGUAAACGAUGAGAACUAGGUGUUGGGGGAAUAACUCAGUGCCGCAGUUAACGCAAUAAGUUCUCCGCCUGGGGAGUAUGCACGCAAGUGUGAAACUCAAAGGAAUUGACGGGGGCCCGCACAAGCGGUGGAGUAUGUGGUUUAAUUCGAAGCAACGCGAAGAACCUUACCAGGCCUUGACAUCCCUUGCAGAGGUAUAGAGAUAUAUCCGAGGUUAUCAAGGAGACAGGUGGUGCAUGGUUGUCGUCAGCUCGUGUCGUGAGAUGUUGGGUUAAGUCCCGCAACGAGCGCAACCCUUGUGAUAUGUUACUAACAUUGAGUUGAGGACUCAUAUCAGACUGCCGGUGAUAAACCGGAGGAAGGUGGGGAUGACGUCAAAUCAUCAUGCCCCUUAUGGCCUGGGCUACACACGUACUACAAUGGCGUCUACAAAGAGCGGCAAGCCUGUGAAGGCAAGCGAAUCUCAUAAAGGACGUCUCAGUUCGGAUUGAAGUCUGCAACCCGACUUCAUGAAGCUGGAAUCGCUAGUAAUCGCGAAUCAGCAUGUCGCGGUGAA